AGGGAAAAUAUAUGAGGCUUACUGCUAAUAAGCCUAAGAAGACUAGAGCUUCAUUUUCCUA
rnacentral:tRNA from 1 species